rnacentral:rRNA from 1 species
AUUGAACGCUGGCGGCAUGCUUUACACAUGCAAGUCGAGCGGCAGCACGGGGGCAACCCUGGUGGCGAGCGGCGAACGGGUGAGUAAUACAUCGGAACAUGCCCAGUCGUGGGGGAUAACACUUCGAAAGAAGUGCUAAUACCGCAUACGUCCUGAGGGAGAAAGCGGGGGAUCUUCGGACCUCGCGCGAUUGGAGUGGCCGAUGUCAGAUUAGCUAGUUGGUGGGGUAAAGGCCUACCAAGGCAACGAUCUGUAGCUGGUCUGAGAGGAUGAUCAGCCACACUGGGACUGAGACACGGCCCAGACUCCUACGGGAGGCAGCAGUGGGGGAUUUUGGACAAUGGGGGCAACCCUGAUCCAGCCAUUCCGCGUGAGUGAAGAGGGCCUUCGGGUUGUAAAGCUCUUUCGGCAGGAACGAAACGGCGAGCUCUAACAUAGCUUGCUAAUGACGGUACCUGAAGAAGAAGCACCGGCUAACUACGUGCCAGCAGCCGCCGUAAGAC